UCGGGAAUUUUGGGCAAUGGGCGAAAGCCUGACCCAGCAACGCCGCGUGAAGGAUGAAGUAUUUCGGUAUGUAAACUUCGAAAGAAUGGGAAGAAUAAAUGACGGUACCAUUUAUAAGCUCCGGCUAACUACGUGCCAGCAGCCGCGGUAAUACGUAGGGAGCAAGCGUUGUUCGGAUUUACUGGGCGUAAAGGGCGCGUAGGCGGCGCGGUAAGUCACUUGUGAAAUCUCUGAGCUUAACUCAGAACGGCCAAGUGAUACUGCAGUGCUAGAGUGCAGAAGGGGCAAUCGGAAUUCUUGGUGUAGCGGUGAAAUGCGUAGAUAUCAAGAGGAACACCUGAGGUGAAGACGGGUUGCUGGGCUGACACUGACGCUGAGGCGCGAAAGCCAGGGGAGCAAACGGGAUUAGACACCCCGGUAGUCCUGGCCCUAAACGAUGAAUACUUGGUGUCUGGAGUUUCAAGACUUCGGGUGCCGUCGCUAACGUUUUAAGUA
rnacentral:rRNA from 1 species